UCCGAGUUGUCCCCGGCUUUCACCGGGCUUUCACCAGCAUGUCAAACCCAGGUAAGGUUCUUCGCGUUGCUUCGAAUUAAACCACAUGCUCCACCGCUUGUGCGGGCCCCCGUCAAUUCCUUUGAGUUUCAGCCUUGCGGCCGUACUCCCCAGGCGGGGCACUUAACGCGUUAGCUGCGGCACCGAAGGGGUCGUUCCCCCCGGCACCUAGUGCCCAUCGUUUACGGCGUGGACUUC
rnacentral:misc_RNA from 1 species